GUGCUUGCUUGGGCAGCACAUAAACUAAAAUUGGAACGAUACAGAGAAGAUUACCAAGGCCCCUGCGCGGAGAUGACACAUAAAUUUGUGAAGUGUUCCAUAUUUUU